ACGGUGCUUGCACCUGAUUGAUUUUGGUCGCCAACGAGUGGCGGACGGGUGAGUAACACGUAGGUAACCUGCCCAGAAGCGGGGGACAACAUUUGGAAACAGAUGCUAAUACCGCAUAACAGCGUUGUUCGCAUGAACAACGCUUAAAAGAUGGCUUCUCGCUAUCACUUCUGGAUGGACCUGCGGUGCAUUAGCUUGUUGGUGGGGUAACGGCCUACCAAGGCGAUGAUGCAUAGCCGAGUUGAGAGACUGAUCGGCCACAAUGGGACUGAGACACGGCCCAUACUCCUACGGGAGGCAGCAGUAGGGAAUCUUCCACAAUGGGCGCAAGCCUGAUGGAGCAACACCGCGUGAGUGAAGAAGGGUUUCGGCUCGUAAAGCUCUGUUGUUAAAGAAGAACACGUAUGAGAGUAACUGUUCAUACGUUGACGGUAUUUAACCAGAAAGUCACGGCUAACUACGUGCCAGCAGCCGCGGUAAUACGUAGGUGGCAAGCGUUAUCCGGAUUUAUUGGGCGUAAAGAGAGUGCAGGCGGUUUUCUAAGUCUGAUGUGAAAGCCUUCGGCUUAACCGGAGAAGUGCAUCGGAAACUGGAUAACUUGAGUGCAGAAGAGGGUAGUGGAACUCCAUGUGUAGCGGUGGAAUGCGUAGAUAUAUGGAAGAACACCAGUGGCGAAGCGGCUACCUGGUCUGCAACUGACGCUGAGACUCGAAAGCAUGGGUAGCGAACAGGAUUAGAUACCCUGGUAGUCCAUGCCGUAAACGAUGAGUGCUAGUGUUGGAGGGUUUCCGCCUUCAGUGCCCGGAGCUACGCAUUAAGCACUCCGCCUGGGGGAGUACGACCGCAAGGUUGAAACUCAAAGGAAUUGACGGGG
rnacentral:rRNA from 1 species